rnacentral:lncRNA from 1 species
AUUCUGUAUCACCCUCGCUCAAGGACCUGGACUGAAGGAUUUCUGCUUUCAAGAAGAAAAAAAAAAAUAGAAGACAUGUUUACUAAUACACUGGUAAUUAUUUCUAUUCAUAUUUUAUUGGCCAAAGCGAGUCAUAUGGGUAUACAACAUAAAAUGAGGUGCAGAAUUUCAAUCCUAUCAUUUGCUUGGAAGGUGGAGAGUCAUAUUUGGAGAACAUGAGUUCUAUAAUUGUUGGAUGUAACAGUCUAUACAUGUCCACUAAGUCAAGUUUGCUAAUCGUGUUUAAAUAAUCUAUAUCCUUACUCAUGUAUCUGUUCACUUCUUGCAGUUUUGUCAAUCUUAGUUUUAUAUUUUUGAAGCUAUAUUAUGUGUACAAGUUUUAUAAUCAUUGUACUUUCUCAUGAGUUAAACUUUUUAUCAUUAUGAUAAUGCUUUUUGCCUUAAAGUCUACUUUGUCUAAUAUUAAUAUAGAUAACAUUAAUUUUUGUUAAUAUUUAUAUUUUUCCACUUUUUAAUUUCAACAUUAUAAUACAAAUGUUUUAGGUAUGUUUCUUAUAAACAGUAUGCAGAUUGUUAUCCAAUUCAAUCUUUGAUUUUUAAUUGAACUAUUUAAUUUAUUUACAUUUAAUGUAAUUACUGAUAUAUUUGAAUUUAAAUAUACCGUCUUCUUAAGUGUUUUCAAUUGUCUCACAUGCUCUCUGUUCUCUUUAUCCUCACUUUUUGCCUGCUUUUGGAAAAUAUUGUUUUUGCCUCCAUUGUUUUGGAAGUUACAUAUCUUUUUAGUAGUCUUUUAGAGUUUAUCCUAUAGAUCACAGUAUGGGUCUCUGAGUUAGCAAAGGCUAAUAAUGUUAAUUGGCACUUUCAUUUUCUUCCAUAAUAGUACAAGGACCUUAGAACGUUUCAAUUCAUUUACUUCCUCUCCUGAUUUGUAUGCACUUUUAAUAUUUUUAAUUUUUUAAAUCUUCAGCACUGUGUUACAUUGUUUCAUACGGUAUAAUUCAUUUAGACUUCCUCAAAUGGACCUUCGUGCUGGACCUCAUUUCUUUCUGCAUCUAUAUAACCUAUCAUCCUUAAUCAUCUUCCUUCUGCUUAAAGAACAUCCUUUAGUAUUUGAUGCUGGUAAAGAAUCCUGAAAAUGUCUUAAUUUCACUUUUAUUAUUGAAGGCUAUUUUCACUGGACAUAGAAUUCUAAUGUUGACAGUUAUUUUAUUUCAGCACUUGAAAGACAUUUAAAUUCCACUAAUUUCUAGUUUCCAUUGUUUCUAUCAAGAGGUAAGCUAACAGUCUAUUACAUUUUUUCAAGUAAUGACAGCUGCUUGUAAUUUUUUUUUCCCUUUGUCUUUGGUUUUCAUCUGUCUUAUUGUGAUGUACCUAGGUGUGGCUUUUAAAAAUUUCUCCUGCUUGCAGCUCCCAGGGCUUCUGAGAUUUGUGGCUUGUUGUCUUUAAUCAAUUUUGGGAAUUUUUCAACUAUUUUCUCUUCAAAUAUUGAUGCUGCACCAUUCUCUUUCUCUUCUCCUUCUGAAAUUUUAAUUCUCAUUUUAUCUCCAUAUCUCUUACUCUCUGUAGCAUUGCUAUCCUUUUGUCUCUCCAUGUUUCGUCAUGAUGUUGUCUUCUAACCUACUUUCCAGUUCAUCAAUUUUCCCUACAGCUGUGUAUAAUUUUUUGUUAAACCAAGUAAAGAGUAUCCACUGAGCUCUUUGCUUUUGUUAGUAUAUAUUUUAAAUUCUAAAUUGUUCACUGGUUAUUUUUUACAACUUUUUCAUCCUUUUUUAAAGUUUUCAGUUCUCUGCCAAAUUUGUUGAUACUGUCUUUUAUCUCCGUAUGUGUAGUAAACAUAAUUAAUUUAAAGUCCGUAUCUGAUAAAUCCAUUAACUGGAGUUCUGUGGUAUUGUUUCUAUUGUAGUUGUUUCUACUGGAUCUCAUGUUUUCUUAUUUCUUUAUGGGCCUGGUUAUUCUCUUGUGUGCUAAAAUUGUAUAUGAAAAAUUGUUGGUUGAAGUAAAGUAAAACUUAUUGUGUUAUAUUCCUCCUGAGAGUACAGUCAUCCCUCAGUAUCCACAGCAGGAUUGGUUCCAGGACCUACUGCAGAUACCAAAAUCCAUGCAGAUUUCAUUUCCACAAUCAACCCUGUGGAAUCCAUGGAUAUAAAACGUCGACCCUCCAUAUAUAAGUGAGUUUGGCAUCCUGCAACUACUGUCUUUUAUAUUUAUGUUUGGUUGCAGAUGCAGAAUUCACCAAAGCCUAAUCCAGAGCAAGGCCCUAACUCUUCAAUUCUAUGAAGGCUAAGAGAGCUGAGGAAGCUGUAGAAGAAAAACUGCAAGCUAGCAGGGGUUGGUUUAUGAAGUUUAAGGAAAUAAACCAUUCCGUAACAUAAAAGUGUAAGAUAAAGCAGCAAGUGCUGAUGUAGAAGCUGCAGCAAAUUAUUCAGAAGAUCUAGCUGAGAUCAUGGAUGGCGGUGGUUACACUAAACAACAGAGUUCCAGGGUAGACAAACAGCCUUCUAUUGGAAUAAGAUGCCAUCUAGGACUUUCAUAGCUAGAGAAGAGUGGGCUGACUAUAUUUAUUUUAAAAAUCCAUGUAUAGGCUGGGCGCAGUGGCUCACGCCUGUAAUCCCAGCAGCACUUUAGGAGGCUGAGGCAGGUGGGUCACCUGAGGUCAGGAGUUUGAGACCAGCCUGGCCAACAUGGUGAAACCCUGUCUCUACUAAAACUAAAAAAAUUAGCUGGCAUGGUGGCAGGCACCUGUAAUCCCAGCUACUCAGGAGGCUGAGGCAGGAGAAUUGCUUGAACCUGGGAGGCGGAGGUUGUAGUAAGCCGAGAUCGCGCCAUUGCACUCCAGCCUGGAUGACAAGAGCGAAAUUCUGUCCAAAAAAAAAAAAAAAAUCCAUGUAUAAAUGAGCCAUACAGUUCAAACCCAUGUUGUUCAAGGGUCAACUGUAUUUAUAUUUGCUUUUGCAAGAUACCUGGGGAUGUGAGGACCUGGGAUCACCUUUAUCCAAUUUGAAGAAUUAAGCUAAUUGGAUCUCAGCUGAGGCCCCACAAAAUCUCAUCUACUUCCAUCCAAGUCAUCCUGUCUUUUCUCUUUUUUAAAUUUUUUUGGAGGUGGGGUCUCACUGUGCUGCCCAGGCUGGACAACAUAGGUCCAGUGGCACAAACAUAGGUCACUGCAGCCUUGCACUCUUGGGCUGAAGGGAUCUUCCCAAGUAGCUGGGGCUACAAGCACAUGCCACCAUGCUACCAUGCUGCGCUAAUUUUUUCAUUCAGUCUUAAGAUGAAGACUUUCAGGGUCCUAGCCUGCUAUGGGGAGUUAUAUGUCUACCCUCUCCUUUGGUGAGCACCGGAUUCCAACUUGUGUUUAUGUGGCCACACAAAGCUGCCCAGGUGCUGCUUAGUCUCUUCAGUUCUUUUUUUUUUUUUGAGAGGGAGUCUCACUCUGCACUGUGUCGCCCGUGCUGGAGUGCAGUGGCAUGAUCUCGGCUCACUGCAACGUCUGCCUCAUAGGUUCAAGCUCCUCCGCCUCCUGGGAGCCUGGGUGAUUCUCCUGCCUCAGCCUCCCGAGUAGCUGAGAUUAUAGGCACCCGCCACCACACCCAGCUAAUUUUUCUUUUGUAUUUUAAUAGAGAUGGGGUUUCACCAUGUUGGUCAGGCUGGUCUCAAACCCUAACCUCAAAUGAUCCACCUGCCUUGGCCUCCCAAUGUGCUGGGAUUACAGGUGUGAGCCACCACACCCGGCCAUCUCUCCAGUUCUUUGUUGUCGUUUCCAGAAGCAGCAAAUGUCCCAAGGGGAAAAGAGGCCCAGUUAUUGGGCUUGCCUCCUUGAAUACCCAUCUUUCUCCAGCUCUUCAUUGGUGAUUCUUCAUUAUCUUUUUAAGUCUGAUGUUUUCAAGCACAUUUUAUUUUAAUUUUUUCCCACUUUUCUAAUUGUUCUCAGCAGGACAGUAGGUCUGAAUUUAGUCUGCUAUUACCAGAUGGUAGGAAAUAGACAGGUAUGCUUCAUUUUGUCAUAGUUUGCUUUACUACACUGCAGAUAUUAUAUUUUUUACAAAUUGGAGGUUCGUGGUAACCCUGCAUUGAAGAAGCCUUUAGGUGCCAUUUUUCCAACAGCAUGUGCUCACUUUUUGUUUCUGGGUCAUAUUUUGAUAAUUCUCAUAAUAUCUCAGACUUUUUCAUUAUUAUUAUAUUUGUUAUGGUAAUCUAUGAUCAGUGAUCUUUGAGAUUACUCUUGUAAUCAUUUUGGGGUGCCAUAAACUGUGCUCAUAUAAGAUGGUGAAGUUCAUUGAUAAAUGUUGUGUGUUCUGACUUCUCCACCAAUCAGCCAUUUCCCAUCUUUUACAUUCUUUUCAGUCCUCCUUAUUCCCUGAGACACAACAAUAUUGAAAUUAGACUAAUCAAUAACCCUACAAUGUCCUCUAAGUGUUCAAGUGAAAGCAAGGGUGGCACAUCCCACACUUUAAAUCGAAAGCUAAAAAUGAUUAAGCUCAGUGAGGAAUGCAUGAGGAAAAGCCAAGAGAGGCCAAAAUAGAGGGCUUUUGUGCCAAACAGGUAGCCAAGUUGUGAAUGGAAAGGAAAAGUUCUUGAAGGAAAUUAAAAGCACUACUCCAGUGAACACACAAAUGAUAAGAGAGUAAAACAGCCUUAUUGCUGAUAUGGAGAAAGUUUGAGUGGUCUGGAUAGAAGAUCAAACCAGCAACAACAUUCCUUUAAGUUAAAGCCUAAUCCAGAGCAAGGCCCUAACUCGCUUCAAUUCAAUGAAGGCUGAGAGAGGUAAGGAAGCUACAGAAGAAAAAUUAGAAGCUAGCAGAGGUUGGUUCAUGAAAUUUAAGGACAUAAACCAUUUCCACAACAUAAAGUGCAAGGUGAAGCAGCAAGCGCUCAUGUAGAAGCUGCAGCAAGUUAUCCAGAAAAUCUAGCUAAGAUUAUGGAUGGUGGUGGCUACACUAAACAAUAGAAUUUCAAUGUAGACAAAACAUCUAUCAGAAUAAGAUGCCAUCUAAGACUUUCAUAGCUAAAGAGGAGAAAGCAAUGCCUGGCUUCAACGCUUCAAGGGACAGGCUGACUGUCUUAUUAGGGGCUAAUGCAACUGGUGGCUUUAAGCUGAAGCCAAUUGCUCAUUUUCCAUACAGAAAAUCUUUGGACCCUUACAAAUUAUGCUAAACCCAGGCCAGACACAGUGGCUCAUGCCUGUAAUUCUAGCACUUUGGGAGGUCGAGGCAGGCAGAUCACUUGAGCUCAGGAGUUCGAGACUGGCCUGGGCAACAGGGUGAAACCCCAUCUCUACAAAAAAAUACAAAAACUAGCCAGGUGUGGUGAAGUGUGCCUGCAGUCCCAGCUACUCAGGAGGGUGAGGCAGGAGAAUUUCUUGAGCCUGGAGGCUGAGGUUGCCGUGAGUCAAGAUCACGCCAUUGCACUCCAGCCUGGGUGACAGGAGUGAAACCCUGUCUCAAAACAAAGAAUUGUGCUAAAUCUAUUCUGCCUGUGCUCUAUAAAUGAAAUAACAAAGCCUGAAUGACAGCACAUCUGUUUAUGGCAUGUUUACUGAAUAUUUUAAGCCUACCGUUGAGACUUACUCCUCCAGGGAAAAAAAGGGAUUCCUUUCAAAAUAUUACUUCUUGUUGGCAAAUGCAUCUAGUAACUCAAAAGCUCUGACAGAGAUGUACAAGGAGAGUAAUAUUUUCAUGCUUUUAACACAACAUCCAUUCUGCAGUCCAUGGAUCAAGAAGUCAUUUCAACUUUCAAGUCCUAUUACUUAAGAAAUGCAUUUUUUAAGGCUAUAGUUGUCAUAGAUAGUGAUUUCUCUGAUGGAUCUGGGCAAAAUCAAUUGAAAACCCUCUGCAAAGAAUUUACCAUUUUAGAUGCCCUUAAGUACAUUCACGAUUCAUGGGAGGAGGUCAGAAUAUCAACAUUAGCAGGAGUUUGGAAGAAGUUGAUUCUAACCCUCACGGAUGACUUAGAGGAGUUCAAGACUUCACUAGAGGAAGUCACUGCGGAGGUGCUGGAAACAGAAAACUAGAAUUAGAAGUGGAGCCUGAAAAUGUGCCUGAAUUGCUUCAAUCUUGUAACGGUUAAUACUGAGUGUUCACUUGAUUGGAUUGAAGGAUGCAAAGUAUUGUUCCUGGGUGUGUCUGUGUGAGCUUCCCUAGUUUUGAGGUUUUGGGACUUGGACUGGUUUCCUUGCUCCUCAGGUUGCAGAUGGCCUAUUGUGGCACUUCGCCUUGUGAUCAUGUGAGUCAGUACUCCUUAAUAAACUCCCGUUCAUUUAUACAUCUAUCCUAUAAGUUCUGCCUCUCUAGAGAACCCUAAUACAAAUUUCAUGAUAAAACUUGAACGAAAGAGGAGCUGCUUCUUAUGGAUGAGCAAAGAAAGUGAUUUCUUGAGAUGGACUCUACUCCUAGUAGAGAUGCUGUGAACAUUGUUGAAAUGACAAUAAAGGAUUUAGAAUAUUCCGUAAACUUAGUUAAUACAGAAGCAGCAGCAUUUGAGAGGACUGACUCCACUUUUGAAAGAAGUUCUACUGUUAUUAAAUGCUACCAAAUAUGGUACAGAGAAAUAUUUUGUGAAAGGAAGAGUCCAUUGACAUGGCAAGCUUCAUUACUGUCAUAUUUUAAUAACUUGCCACAGCUACCUCAAACUUCAGCAACCACCAGUCUGAUCAGUCAGUAACCAUCAAUAUCGAGGCAAGACCUUCCACCAGGAAAAAGAUUAUAACUCACUGAAGGCUCAGACGAUCAUUACUAUUUUUUUAGCAGCAAAGUAUUUUUAAUUGAGGUAUGUACAUUUUUAGACAUAAUGCUCUUGCACACUUACUAGACUACAGCAUACUGUCAACAUAACUUUUAUAGGCACUGGGAACCAAAAAUUUGUAUGAUUCACUUUGUUGCAAUACUUGCCUUACUGCGGCAGUCUGGAACCAAACCCACAAUAUCUCCAAGGUCCACCUGCAAAUGCAGGCAGUGGGCCAGGUAUACAUGCAUACAUAUGCCUUAUGUGAGGGGUGGGCACUGAGGUUAACUAGAAAGCAUGAGCCUAUUUUUGCCUUGUGGUAAUAAGGGCCUCAUAUUGCCAAAUUUUUCCAUUUUUUUCAAAAGAAGUAGGAAAGGAAAUGCAGGCUUUUAAAAUGUGAAAUCCCAAUUUUCAAUUGUUGGUUCAAAAAAAACUUAAAUCUCAACUAGCCAAAUAAAAUGCAUCUGGGGUCCACACCCAGCUACCCUAUAGGAUACUAAUUUAAAAUAUCUGGACUAUAGUCUAUAUUGAUGAGAGAAGUGGGGUGAAACUUGGCAUUCCCUUGCCAUUAACUUCUAGCCUCCCAGUAGUCCAGGCUGCCUUGAAUAAACACCAGACCAUCAUACAAAACAGAGUUUUUAUCUUAUUUAUUUAUUUAUGAGUUGGGUGUCUUGCUGCAUUACUCAGGAUGGAGUGCAGUGGCACAAUCAUAGUUCACUGAGGCCACGAACUGCUGUGCUCAAGUGAUCCUCUCACCUCAGCCUCCUGAGUAGCUGGGACUACAGGUGUAUGCCACCACAUAAGGCUAAUUUUAAUUUGUUUUUGAGAGACAGAGUCUUGCUAUGUUGCCCAGGCUGGUCUUAAACUCCUGGCCUCAAGCAAUCUUUCCACCUUGGCCUCUGAAAGUACUAGGAUUAUAGAAGUGAGCCGCUAUGCUUGACCAAAACACAGUUUUUAAAUCAAUUUAUGUCUUUACUGAAAUCUCUUAAAGAUGCCAAAGGGUGGGGUUUGGGUUCCAUUCAUAACACCAACAUUUCUGAAGAAUCCUCUUCUCUUGUCUCUUUCUCAAGUCCUCCUCAUGACAUCUGUGUUAGUCCGUUCUCACACUGCUAUGAAGGACUGCCUGAGACUGGGUAAUUUAUAAAAGAAAGAGGUUUUAAUUGACUCACAGUUCCACAGGGGUGGGAAGGCCUCAGGCGGAAGGGGAAGCAACCACAUCCUUCUUCACAUAGCGGCAGGAAGGAGAAGUGCCAAGCAAAGGGGAAAAGCCUUUCAUAAACCCAUCAGGUCUCAUGAGAACUCAAGAAGAGCAUGGGGAUAUGUGGAGGAAAAGUUAAAUCUUAAAUUUGAACUCAAUUGAAUGUGGACACAAACAAUGGUCACCAAGUCCCAGAACAGGUUGCAUGAGCCCCUUGAGGCGUUCAUCCAGACGGUUUUGGAGAAAUCUGUUCCUGUAUGUUAGUUAUUGAAAAACAACAAACAAUCAUAAAAACAAGUUGACCUUUUUGUGUUCCUUGAGUCCAGUCAUGAAGGGCCCUCGUGACUGGGCCUCAUGCCAAAUAAGUCGUUACAAAAAGAACUAGGGUCCCAUACCACGCCAAAGCUUCAUGAGACCUCUCCUCAUCUGUGCAUGGAUGAGCGGUCAACUCUGGAGCCCAGGCUGUUGCUUCCCUGUCUGGUGAUGAAUCCUCUAUAGUCUGGUAAGUGUAGUGGCCGACUCUGGAGCCCAGGCUGUUGCUUCUGGUCUGGUGAUGAAUCCUCCAUCGUCUGGUGAGUGUGUGUGUAUAUAUAUAUAGUCUAUAUUGAUGGGAGAAGUGGGGUGAAAGUUGGCAUGCCCUUGCCAUUAACUUCUAGCCUCCCAGUAGUCCAGGCUAUAUAUAUAUAUCUUCUCCCUUUUCCCCUUCCCAUUGCAAUUUGCUUGUAUCAUUUGCUUAUUAUAUCUGCAUUGCCAUUUACAUGGGAUAAAGGUUGUUUACCCUUGAAGGUAUUGCAUGUGUGUCUUUUCUUUUCCCUUUGUGCAUCUCCCUCAUAGAAAAGAGUAACCGCCCCCAUGAUUCAAUUGCCUACCACUGGGUCCCUCCCACAACACGUGGGGAUUAUAGGAACUACAAUUCAAGAUGAGAUUUGGGUGGGGACACAGCCAAACCAUAUCAACAGCCCAGCAGCUACUUCAGUCCUCCUUAAUUUAUCUCUUGAAUUCUCCCAAACCCAGCUCAUCCCUGGCUUGUUUCUCUUAUUCUUUCUCUCGCCUUCUGAUCCAUUCUGCUUUCGUUAGUAUGUAACUCCCUGCCUUCUCUUAGGUAGACCCAUCAACCCAUCCUACCCAUGGUACUGCACAAUUCAGAAUCCUUUCCCAAAUUUUCCCUUAUUAUGCACAAGAAAUACUCCAGGGCCAGGUGCAAUGGCUCACGCCUGUAAUCCCAGAACUUUGGAAGGCUGAGGCAGGAGGAUCGCUUGAGCCCAAGAGUUCAAGGCUGUAGUUAGUGAUGUUGGUGCCACUGCACUCCAGCCUAGGCAACACAACAAGACACUAUCUCAAUUAAAAGAAAAAAAAAGAAAAAAGAAAAAGAAAUACUCCAGAACUUGGCUAGUGAAGACUAAUUCCUCCUUCACAGGAAGGAAGUGGGGGCAGGGGAAAAUGAUGCUGUAAAUACUCUAAAAUAUGUAUUUUUUCCUGUCCCAUCAGCUAUGCCAUCUGGGAUGGGGUGACGCCUGGAUGAGAUGUCAUUUUAAAGGACAUUUCUGGGACAUGCUGGCAUCAAGGCAAGUUUUCAGGUGGCUGCCAUUUCCUUGUCAUUUACCUUCUAUGGACAGGACAGAGUCUCCACCCAAACCACCACCCUCCCACAAAAGCGGGAAGGAGAAGCCAGAAGGGAGAGAAAUCAGACUUUUCCUGAUUUGUCUAAUAAUAGAAAGUUGGCAGAGCACGUCACAGAAUAGAAAGUAUUUGAUAAAAACAGCAUCUGUUCAGCUUGGGACUCGAGCCGGAGCUGCAUGGAAAUUUAAUUUAUUCCUUCCUCGAGUAUUCCCAUUAGAGUAUCACAAUUCUGUCUUUCUCAUUAAUGAGAGAAGUUGAAAACGUUGCUUCCUGUGACCAAAAUGGCUUUCUUUCCCACGGGCUGAUGGCAGAGGAGGCGACAGCGCAGCUGAGCGAGCGGCCAGCAGGGGGCGCGGCCCUGCCGUCCUCACACCCACCCCGGACACGGAGACGCGGGGCGAGCGGGGCGCCCCUUACACAGCCUGCGAGGGGAGACCCAGGAGGUUUUCCAAACAAGAGGCUUUGCUGACUCUAGGGGCCUAAGAAUAACCACUGUGUAGUAUCCUGACUGCCGGCGGCCUCAGUAAAAGUGGUAGACAGAGGCUUCCCUGUCGCUCAAGGAGCUCCCAGGGCUUUCUAGGCUUCCCGUUCUCCUCCUGUUUCCCAGGACCCACCAGAGUGCCCCCUGCAGGUCAGGACGGGAACCGACACCUGGCCUUUGUCAAAACGCAUUCCAGCGCCCAGUGAAUUACUGUCCUCACGCCUGUCACCUCUCCAUCUCCGGCUCCUCGCUGCUCUGGCUCCUUAAAGUCCUGCUCUGGGCAAAGUGGCCUUAACAGGAAAUCAAAGCUGAGUCAAACUAAUAAUAGUUUGGCUAUUGAUCAGGCAGCCCCUUUAAAUCACCCGGUGUUUUGUUUAAUUGCAGAAAAAUACACAUAACAUAAAAUUUUCCAUUUUAAAUGUACAGUUAGUUUAGUGGUGUUAAGUGCAUUCACAUUCUUGUGCAACCAUCCCCACCAUCCAUUUCCGGGGCUCUUUUCAUCCUCCCAGGCUUAAACUCCACACUCAUUAGACAAAAACUCCCCAUUCCUCUUCCCCCAGACCUGGAAGCCACCAUUCUGCUUUCUGCCUCUGAAUUUGACUACUCUAUGUACCUCUUAUAAAUGGGAUCAUAUUGUAUUUGUCCUUCUGUGGCUGGCUUGGUUCACUUAGCAUAGUGUCCUCAAGGUUUACCCAUGUUGUAGUGUGUGUCAGAAUUGCCUUCCUUUUAGGGGUGAAUAAUAUUCCACUGUAUGUAUAUACCACAUUUUAUUUGUCCAUUCAUCUGUCAAUGGCCACCAGGAUUGCUUUCACCUUUUUGGCCAUUGUGAAUAAUGUUGCAAUGAGCAUGGGUGUCCUUUUCGAGAUUGUUUUGACCUGUUGGUAUUUUAACAGGACUCUUUAGGAAGGUAAUCCCAAUGGAAUAGUUCAAGGUCCGAAGAAAGCUGAUGGGAACUAUUUUAGGAAGAAACAGAUUUAAUGUCCCUUGCACCAAACCAUAUCACCUACAUAGGGGGCUGCCCUAGGAUAUAUGUUCUGAUAUCAUGCAUUUUGUAUUUCCUCACUGAAAAGGAUAAGAAGUUGUGCCCAGUGGAGGGAAAAUGUUUCUGACUCAAACAACUUCCAAGCCACUUGGCUCUCGGAAUCUUUGAUAGCCGUAGAUUGUUAGGCAGUGACAGUGGGAAGCCAGAGAGUGAUGCAGACACGAGCAGGCUUUGGUGUCAGACCCGGCGAACAUUUCUCCUGACAUGAGCUUCAAAUAUCUUCAUGAGCGGAUUCUUUGGGGGUCCUUGCUGAUUCAGCUUCUAUCCGCCCCUCUAUGCUUUCCUGUGCCUUCAGCUCUUAGUUUUUCCCCCAUCAGCAUUGCAAUAUGCUCAAGAAGUUAACAAAACAAAUUAACACAGAGAAAGCACAACCCUCCCUUAAGCCCUGCCUCCCUUCAGUUCCCAUCCUUCCUGUCUCUCUCCUGCUGUGGCCUGUAGCCUGUCUUCUUGAAGGAAUCAUUUUCACUUGCCACUUCCAUAUCCCCACUCCCAUUCACUCUUGAACCCGGUGCUCUCCUGGCACUGGAUUCUGAGGGUUUCUGAUGUGACAUCUUGGUUCAAGCUUCUGAUGGGAAGUCAGCCCCCUGUUCAAGUCAAAAGCCCUGCAUCCUGAGAAGUCCUGGCACCUUGCUUCAGAGACAGUUCCUAGAAUACCAGAAGAUAUAUAUAUAUAUGUGUAUAUAUAU